UCAGUAGCUCAGUUGGAUAGAGCAACGGCCUUCUAAGCCGUAGGUCGGGGGUUCGAAUCCCUUCUGG
rnacentral:tRNA from 1 species